UACGUAGGGUGCGAGCGUUAAUCGGAAUUACUGGGCGUAAAGCGUGCGCAGGCGGUUUUGUAAGCCAGAUGUGAAAGCCCCGGGCUUAACCUGGGAAUGGCAUUUGGGACUGCAAGGCCUGAGUGCGGCAGAGGAGACUGGAAUUCCCGGUGUAGCAGUGAAAUGCGUAGAUAUCGGGAGGAAUACCGAUGGCGAAGGCAGGUCUCUGGGCUGACACUGACGCUCAUGCACGAAAGCGUGGGGAGCAAACAGG
rnacentral:rRNA from 1 species